AAAAUUUGGUCUUUUAUAUUUCCCUUCUUACCCCUCUUUAAAUUAAAAAUUAAAAAUAAAAAAAAAACUCUAGGUGCAACCCAAAUCCAAUCUGAAUAUAGAACUUAAACCCGGAAAAGAUAAACAAUUCUAGAUCGAAAAAUCUGAAAAUUCAAGCAAAGCUUAUAACUUUAAGGCCAGUAGAUGGCGGUGGCAGAGAUAAAUAAUAGCCAGACUCAUCUCUUCUUCUUCGAGCAAAAAUGCAGCUAGCCUUAUGCACUUCAUUUUUUUUUUCUUCUUCCUCUUAGGUACAGAUCACGACCAACCCAUUUUUUCUAUUCCCUUAUCCUCUUUUCUUUCUCUCAGGUACUAACACGGCCACCACUUCAUUUCUUUUCUUUACCCACUCACCCAUCACUCACUCUAUCUUCUACCUUUCUCCUCUUAAUUUCGUUGAUUUGUAUUUUCAAUUUUUGGGUCUCCACAGCCCCAAUAGCAAUUCCAACUAUAAUCCCAGUAUCUAAUCCCAGAGACGACAUCAACGGGGUGCUCAUAGGCGAAUUCGGCGGCGGAGGACUCUUGGUUGUGGUUGGCGUCGACGGCGUUUUUGGCGAAGGCGGCAAGGAGACGGUUGGGGGGAAGGUGCUGGGGUGAGAGAGAAUAAAAAAGAGUGCUAGGCUCACAUUAGAUUGGUUGAUUUGGUUGCAUAUAGGGGAUUCUUGGUCGGAGAUCGGAGCUAAAAUGGGUUUCCGUUUGGGCUUCUUGGUCGGCGCUAAAAGAGUACUAACAUGACCUUCAACUGUUCAUGUGUAUGUAAGUGGUGGGUGAAUUGCUUCUCGGGUCAACCCAAACACGAAACGGCCAAUCUGUUGCAGUCGUUUAUUGACAACGUUUUGCCGCCGGGGAUUUUGGACGACAAGAGAGGAGCACCGAUGGUGCCACCGUCAAGUAAGAAAGUGAGGGCGAAUCUUCUUGUGAUUACGAUUUGGUGGGUUGAGGAGGCAGAUAACAGGGUUGUCACUGAAUGAGAGAGAAGAUGAAGAGCUUUUAAUAUUAUUUUUUUUUAAUUUGAAGAGGGUAAGAAAGGAAAUAAAAAUAUCAAAUUUCUAUCA